AUGAUGUGGUUUAAUUCGAUGCAACGCGAAAACCUUACCCACCUUGACAUGGCAGGAAGUUACCAGAGAUGGUUCGUGCUCGAAAGAGAACCUGCACACAGGUGCUGCAUGGCUGUCGUCAGCUCGUGUCGUGAGAUGUUGGGUUAAGUCCCGCAACGAGCGCAACCCUUGCCAUCAGUUGCUACGAAAGGGCACUCUGAUGGGACUGCCGGUGACAAACCGGAGGAAGGUGGGGAUGACGUCAAGUCCUCAUGGCCCUUAUAGGUGGGGCUACACACGUCAUACAAUGGCCGGUACAAAGGGCAGCCAACCCGCGAGGGGGAGCCAAUCCCAUAAAGCCGGUCGUAGUCCGGAUCGCAGUCUGCAACUCGACUGCGUGAAGUCGGAAUCGCUAGUAAUCGUGGAUCAGCAUGUCACGGUGAAUACGUUCCCGGGUCUU
rnacentral:rRNA from 1 species